GAAGAGAGACCCACCCGGGCACCAAGUCCCUCCUGGUGGCAGGGGGACAGAUGAAAUUCCUCUUUCAAGGUCGCUUCCACUUCCACAUCCCUGGGAGACUCAUUCAAACCUACAAUUAUUUAGUGAGCACAGACUCUGUUCCAGUCAUCUGUUAGGCACUGGGGACACAGCACCGAACAAGGCAGACAACAUUCUUCAUCUCACGGAGCUGACACUCUGGCAGAGGAGACAGAAAAUAAGAAUGGAAAUAGCAGGGCCUAGAGAAGACAGGAGAACCAUCCAAGGCCAAGUUGCAAGUUCCUGCCAGAGCCCCAGUGUCAGGAUCAGGCUCAAGACUGAAAAAAUACUGAACCAUCCCAUUCCCAGGUGACAGGAGAGUCCCUGGUUAAAGAAACCAGGUCCGUGCUUGCAAAGAAAUCUUCAGCAGCUGUUCAAAGGAAGACGGGUCUCCAUGUACUGCAAUUGAGCCCUCUUCAACAUAAACUGUUAAGGGGGAAAAAGAAAGGUUCAGAACAUUAUAUGCUAUCCUGAUUGUUACAAAAGAAACAAAAAGAGGUGGGCAGGGGCUCUGUCUAUAGAGGUGUUGAACUGGGAGUUCCUCCACAAGAGCUUUUAGCAUCCUGAGGCCUGGCAUCCCAGUAUUGGCCCUCCCUUGCUGUGCAAUGAAGAUCAAAGUUUCAACCUCUCUGUGCUCCAGUUUCCUCAACUGUAAAAUUGGACUUGUUGGAAAAAUUAAAUAAAGUCAUCUACACAAGAGGCAUUUCUCAGUGCCUAGGAUGUAGGAAAUGGUCAAUAAGGAACAGCUGUAUAAUAAUUAUUCUGCACAAACUCUCCCUGGAAGAAGGCACAAAAACAUGGAUAAUGGGCUACUACCUCUGCGCACUGGGAAGACUGAAAGACGGG